GGAAAACAUGACUAACAGAAAAUAGGAGAAGGACGUAGAAACAAUAAUUACUCGACAAUUAGAUUACAGAAAAUUCUUUGACAGAAAUGUUUUUUGACAUCGGAAACAAGAAUCCGUUAUUUAUACAACCUGGAAGAUGGAAGAUCUGAAUAAUUUAAACUUUAAUUAAUUAUUUAUGUUAAUUGAAAUGUUAAUUUUUGAAAAUGUAAUUAAUUAAUAAAUUAUUUAUUUUAAUUAAAAA